CUCUUGUGAAAAAUGAAAUAACAAAAGUGCUUAGAACAGUGCCUGGCACACAUUAACUUCAUUAUUAUUAUCCAUAUUAUGCCUGUUAUUAUUGUUAUUGCUACUCUUUGCCUAAUCUGGGGGAUUCACAUGGAGCCAAUUUCUAUUUCGAGACCCCAGCUGUUAGCAUUCAUCACUUCUGAGGCUGUGUAGAGUGGUAUUGCUAACCACCCCAAUCCUUCAGCCACUGGAGGGAUGGGGAUGGGCCUCCACUAUUUAUAGCUGGGGAGGAGCCUCUUAACAUUUCUGUUUUAGAAUAUCAUCAUGUUCUGGUGAACUGGAAUUGUGAUGAAAGGAGUUUGGAUAAGAAGUAAAUUGGGGCAAGCUAGCCUGCUUUCCACCAGAGCAUCUCCCUCCAAUGAUGCAAGUGUGUGGAAAUGAGACUGCAGGGAGAACUUCCAGGCAACAAAGGAUGUGAGACUAUAGAAGAGGCGCUGUAGCUGGGCUCAUGGAGGAGGGAGGCCGCUCUGGACUUUGCCCAGGGGAUGCUGGAUCUCUGAUAUGAAGGAAGAAGAGGGGGAGGAAGGGUCCCCAAGCCUCUGACCUUGAUCUGAGCAUCACAGAAGCCUCCUCCCCUGAGGAUCCUGCAGUAGCCAAGCCACCAGCUUUCACAGAUGAUGGCUUACACUGAAAUAACUUGUUCCUAGGGUAGUUGGUGAUCAAUGACUCAAAUUAAACCUUAGAAAAGAUUUUUUUCUUCCUGACACUUGAUAGGUUUCUCUACUUAUCUCCUCCCUGGAUGGCUGUAUAAGCCAGAUGACGGCUACCUGAACACUCUAGAAAAAGUGAAUUCACAGAGGCUUUCACAGGGCACAGCCUCGCAGUCUGGAGGGAGAAGAGGGCAAAGCGGUCUUCACGGAUGCCACCUACUGCCUAGCUGGGCAGAGAGCCAGUGGAUCAGAGAGGCCGGCUCUGUUCUUGGCAGGAAAUGAGGGGCUGGCAUGGAAAUGCCACCCAGGCUGGGAACAAGAUCUGUGGAGUGGCAGCCUGAGUGGGUGAGGUGAGGGGGAGUAAAGGACAACCCAGGGCUCUCUUGUCAGCAGCACUGGUCCACAGGGAU
ensembl:lincRNA